rnacentral:rRNA from 1 species
GACGAACGCUGGCGGCGUGCUUAACACAUGCAAGUCGAACGCUGAAGGCCCAGCUUGCUGGGUUGGAUGAGUGGCGAACGGGUGAGUAACACGUGAGUAACCUGCCCCCUUCUUUGGGAUAACGCCCGGAAACGGGUGCUAAUACUGGAUAUUCACUGGCCUUCGCAUGGGGGUUGGUGGAAAGGUUUUUUCUGGUGGGGGAUGGGCUCGCGGCCUAUCAGCUUGUUGGUGGGGUGAUGGCCUACCAAGGCUUUGACGGGUAGCCGGCCUGAGAGGGUGACCGGUCACAUUGGGACUGAGAUACGGCCCAGACUCCUACGGGAGGCAGCAGUGGGGAAUAUUGCACAAUGGGCGAAAGCCUGAUGCAGCGACGCCGCGUGAGGGAUGACGGCCUUCGGGUUGUAAACCUCUUUCGCUCAUGGUCAAGCCGCAGCUUUGGGUUGUGGUGAGGGUAGUGGGUAAAGAAGCGCCGGCUAACUACGUGCCAGCAGCCGCGGUAAUACGUAGGGCGCGAGCGUUGUCCGGAAUUAUUGGGCGUAAAGGGCUUGUAGGCGGUUGGUCGCGUCUGCCGUGAAAUCCUCUGGCUUAACUGGGGGCGUGCGGUGGGUACGGGCUGACUUGAGUGCGGUAGGGGAGACUGGAACUCCUGGUGUAGCGGUGGAAUGCGCAGAUAUCAGGAAGAACACCGGUGGCGAAGGCGGGUCUCUGGGCCGUUACUGACGCUGAGGAGCGAAAGCGUGGGGAGCGAACAGG